rnacentral:rRNA from 1 species
AGAUGGCGACCGGCGCACGGGUGAGUAACACGUAUCCAACCUGCCGAUAACUCGGGGAUAGCCUUUCGAAAGAAAGAUUAAUACCCGGUGGUAUAAUCAGACCGCAUGGUCUUGUUAUUAAAGAAUUUCGGUUAUCGAUGGGGAUGCGUUCCAUUAGGCAGUUGGUGAGGUAACGGCUCACCAAACCUUCGAUGGAUAGGGGUUCUGAGAGGAAGGUCCCCCACAUUGGAACUGAGACACGGUCCAA